AUGGCCCCAAAUUUCCGGGCGGCCGUGACCCUGCUGGAGUCCGGGGGGGACCUCCAGCCCCCCGGGGGGUCCCUGCGCCUCCUCUGCCGCGCCUCUGGAUUUGAUUUCGGGAAAUUCGGGAUGGACUGGUAUCUCCAGAGACCCGGGAAGGGGCUGGAAGUGGUAGCAGGAAUCAGCAACAGCAGCAGCACCUGGUACGCGCCAUCCGUGCGUGGCCGGUUCACCAUCAGCAGGGACAACGGGCAGAGCUCGGUGACGCUGAGCAUGAACAACCUCCAGGACGAGGAUUCUGGGGUUUAUUUCUGCGCCAAAGCUGCUGCUGGUUACGCCCUGUCCCCGUGUCCCCGGCUGUCCCCCGAGCCCCGAGCCUUCCCCCAGAGCUCCCUGAGCCGACCGUGA